rnacentral:tRNA from 1 species
GCCCGGUUAGCUCAGCUGGUUAGAGCGUCGUACUAAUAACUUCUCCUGUUCGAGGAAUUAUGAGGUAUGCGAAGGUCAACAGUUCAAUCCUGUUACUGGGCA